rnacentral:lncRNA from 1 species
AGGGAACUGAGGCUCAGUGUGACUAGGGAAUUUGUCAAAGGCAGUGGAGCCAGUAACAGUCGAGACCUGGUCUAGCCAGAAUUCAAGUGAAAACUCAUGGUUAACUGCAAGCCCAGUGUCAACCAAUUAUGUGAUGCUGAUUCUUAUUAUCUUCUGCAAUCUUAGCCUAUACUAGAAGUGUGAUAUUUUGAGCACAGGUGGUAAUAUCACCGCCAUGCUCAGGGCUCAAACAAGGAUACUAUGGGUCACACGUGGAAGCCAUUUUUAGAAGACGCAUCAGUAAACAAUAAAAGCAGGAAAGCAGACAUGAUAGUAAUAAGUUUGGAAACUUUGCCCUAGAAGCAGCAGUUGAUGAAAUGGGGGAUUGUUUGGUAACUAGAAGAAAAAAGAAAGAGAUAAUUACAGGGUUUCCAUCUAAAAGUAGACUUCUACUGUUACUUUGGGGAUAAAGCACCAUAAGAUGAUGAUUGGGAUGGCAGAUCACAUCAACUUCUUUCUAAGAAGGAAGGCUAUCUUCUCAGUCAUCGAGCUUACAGUAAAAGGCAUUGCUACUAAUUACAGCCUGGCUUAAACUGUGAACUAUGAAAUGGACCCACGUAGGACUUCCUGUAUGUGCUUGUGUGUGUGCUUGCUUGUGUGUGAAUGGUUAGCAGAAGAUCCCGAAAACUCAAGACACCAGCCACCAACGUAGAACUUAAUUACACCCAAAGAAAGUUUCUUGCGAAGUAUAAUGGGGAAGUAGUAUAGGAGGCCUGCAAAUACCUUGUGAAAAUCAGUGUGACCACCAUCUUAAGGAUCGUGUGAGCAAGACAGCAUACGUAAAAGAAAAAAGGAAAUGAAAUAGCACAUCCCUUGAGGGAAAAAAAACACAAACAAACUGCACAACCAAUCCACGAAACUUCCAUUCAGGAGAUUGCUUGUACUUGUGUUAAUGCUUCCUCCAUAUUCCUAGGGUGAGCAUCAUCAGAAUGUAAAUAAUCUAUCAUUAGAGGUCUUACACAGAAGCUGAAGUACCUACCACAGCAGGAAAAAGUUCCUGCAAAGGGCUAAAGAUGAGUUCACAUGACUUUAAAGAAGGCUUCAAAACUCAGUAACCAAUAAUUCAAUGAUUUGGGAAUUUUCAAUUAUAUUCCUCUUCUGAAAAAGGUUUGUUUUAUAGCCACAGCUAUUCCAGGUUAUACCAGGCUGCCUCAAUGUGCUUAGGGUCAGGGCAGAGAUUUGGUAAAAAUGGACACAAAAAGAGACACUGGGUUAUUUUUUCAUCUGGAUCGGUUUGUUCCUCAGCUUGCACUUUCUCUCUCAAUAGUUAUAGUGCACUGGAUGUUUGCACAACCCCAGGACUCCAGGGAAGGUGAAGGAAGGAAGAACAGAAGUUAUUUCAGACCUCCCACCCUCCAGCCCAGAACUUCCACCAUUUUGGACUAAACUGUGUUCACCUGAAAUUCAUGUGUUGAAACCCUAAUCCCCAAUGUGAUUGUAUUUGGAUAUAUGGCCUAUAAAAAGGUAAUAAAGAUUGAGUGAGAUCAUAAGGGUGA